rnacentral:misc_RNA from 1 species
GAUGAAGAACGCAGCGAAAUGCGAUAAGUAAUGCGAAUUGCAGAAUUUCCGUGAGUCAUCGAAUCUUUGAACGCACAUUGCGCCCAUUGGCAUUCCGAUGGGCAUGCCUGUUCGAGCGUCAUUAUCCUCCCUCAAACCUCGGGUUUGGUGUUGGACCCAAGUUGUGCGAUGAACAACUGGUCUAAAAAACAAUGACGGCGUCCGUGGGACCCUCGGUGCAACGAGCUUUUAGGAGCACGCGCCGAGUUGCAAGGACCUUCCGGGCCGGUCUCCUUUUACUAUUUUACAAGGUUGACCUCGGAUCAGGUAGGAAUACCCGCUGAACUUAAGCAUAUCAAUAAGCGGAGGA